ACGUUAGCGGCGGACGGSUGAGUAACACGUGGAUAACCUACCUAUAAGACUGGGAUAACUUCSGGAAACCGGAGCUAAUACCGGAUAACAUAUUGAACCGCAUGGUUCAAUAGUGAAAGGCGGCUUUGCUGUCACUUAUAGAUGGAUCCGCGCCGUAUUAGCUAGUUGGUAAGGUAACGGCUUACCAAGGCAACGAUACGUAGCCGACCUGAGAGGGUGAUCGGCCACACUGGAACUGAGACACGGUCCAGACUCCUACGGGAGGCAGCAGUAGGGAAUCUUCCGCAAUGGGCGAAAGCCUGACGGAGCAACGCCGCGUGAGUGAUGAAGGUCUUCGGAUCGUAAAACUCUGUUAUCAGGGAAGAACAAAUGUGUAAGUAACUGUGYWYAUCUUGACGGUACCUGAUCAGAAAGCCACGGCUAACUACGUGCCAGCAGCCGCGGUAAUACGUAGGUGGCAAGCGUUAUCCGGAAUUAUUGGGCGUAAAGCGCGCGUAGGCGGUUUUUUAAGUCUGAUGUGAAAGCCCACGGCUCAACCGUGGAGGGUCAUUGGAACUGGAAAACUUGAGUGCAGAAGAGGAAAGUGGAAUUCCAUGUGUAGCGGUGAAAUGCGCAGAGAUAUGGAGGAACACCAGUGGCGAAGGCGACUUUCUGGUCUGUAACUGACGCUGAUGUGCGAAAGCGUGGGGAUCAAACAGGAUUAGAUACCCUGGUAGUCCACGCCGUAACGAUGAGUGCUAAGUGUUAGGGGGUUUCCGCCCCUUAGUGCUGCAGCUAACGCAUUAAGCACUCGCUGGGGAGUACGACGCA
rnacentral:rRNA from 1 species